UUGGAGGGCAAGUCUGGUGCCAGCAGCCGCGGUAAUUCCAGCUCCAAUAGCGUAUAUUAAAGUUGUUGCAGUUAAAAAGCUCGUAGUUGAAUUUCGGGAUUUGUCAGUUGGUCGGGCUUCACUGUCCGUAUUGACUUGAUGGAUUCUUAUCUUCUGAAUAACCAGCAUGCUAUUAAGUUAGUGCGUUGGGGAAGCAGAUCUAUUACCUUGAAAAAAUUAGAGUGCUUAAAGCGAGCUAGUGCUUGAAUAGAUUAGCAUGGAAUAAUAAAAUAGGACGGCAUGGUUCUAUUUUGUUGGUUUCUAGGAUCACCGUAAUGAUUAAUAGGGAUAGUUGGGGGCAUUAGUAUUCAAUUGUCAGAGGUGAAAUUCUUGGAUUUAUUGAAGACUAACUUCUGCGAAAGCAUUUGCCAAGGAUGUUUUCAUUAAUCAAGAACGAAAGUUAGGGGAUCGAAGACGAUCAGAUACCGUCGUAGUCUUAACCAUAAACUAUGCCGACUAGGAAUCGGACGAUGUUAAUUUUAUAAUGACUCGUUCGGCGCCUUACGGGAAAC
rnacentral:rRNA from 1 species